CAUCUUUAAUAGGAUGUUACGAUUGUGUGAAUACAUAGCACAUUCGAGGUAGACGCAGAGAACUGAAACAUCUAAGUACCUGCAGGAAGAGAAAGAAAAUUCGAUUCCCUGAGUAGCGGCGAGCGAAACGGGAAAAGCCCAAACCAGCAAGCUUGCUUGUUGGGGUUGUAGGACUCCAAUAUGGUAGUUCUUUCAGAUAGUCGAAUGACUUGGAAAAGUCAGUCAAAGAGGGUAAAAACCCCGUAGACGAAAUGUGGAAGACACCUAGGAGGAUCCUGAGUACGGCGGAACACGAGAAAUUCCGUCGGAAUCCGGGAGGACCAUCUCCCAAGGCUAAAUACUCCCUAGUGACCGAUAGUGAACCAGUACCGUGAGGGAAAGGUGAAAAGCACCCCGGAAGGGGAGUGAAAUAGAACCUGAAACCGUGUGCCUACAACAAGUCAAAGCCCGUUAAUGGGUGAUGGCGUGCCUUUUGUAGAAUGAACCGGCGAGUUACGAUUGCAUGCGAGGUUAAGUUGAAGAGACGGAGCCGCAGCGAAAGCGAGUCUGAAUAGGGCGUUUGAGUAUGUAGUCGUAGACCCGAAACCAUGUGAUCUACCCAUGUCCAGGUUGAAGGUGCGGUAAAACGCACUGGAGGACCGAACCCACGUACGUUGAAAAGUGCGGGGAUGAGGUGUGGGUAGCGGAGAAAUUCCAAACGAACUUGGAGAUAGCUGGUUCUCUCCGAAAUAGCUUUAGGGCUAGCCUCGGAAUUGAGAAUGAUGGAGGUAGAGCACUGUUUGGACUAGGGGCCCAUCUCGGGUUACCGAAUUCAGAUAAACUCCGAAUGCCAUUCAUUCAUAUCCGGGAGUCAGACUGUGAGUGAUAAGAUCCAUAGUCGAAAGGGAAACAGCCCAGACCACCAGCUAAGGUCCCAAAAUAUAUGUUAAGUGGAAAAGGAUGUGGGGUUGCACAGACAACUAGGAUGUUGGCUUAGAAGCAGCCA
rnacentral:rRNA from 1 species